ACAACGGUACUUUUCAGUGCCACCAAAACAUCAAUAAAGAGCACUU
rfam:Danio rerio chromosome 14, GRCz11 reference primary assembly.